CCUACGGGUGGCAGCAGUGAGGAAUAUUGGUCAAUGGACGCAAGCCUGAACCAGCCACGCCGCGUGCAGGAAGACGGCCCUAUGAGUUGUAAACUGCUUUUGUACGAGGGUAAAUCUCGAUACGUGUCUAGGGUUGAAAGUAUCGUACGAAUAAGGAUCGGCUAACUCCGCUCCAGCCGCCGCGGUAAUACGGAGGAUUCAAGCGUUAUCCGGAUUGAUUGGGUUUAAAGGGUGCGUAGGCGGUUCGAUAAGUUAGAGGUGAAAUCCCGGGGCUCAACUCCGGCACUGCCUCUGAUACUGUCGGGCUAGAGUUUAGUUGCGGUAGGCGGAAUGUAUGGUGUAGCGGUGAAAUGCAUAGAGAUCAUACAGAACACCGAUUGCGAAGGCAGCUUACCAAACUACGACUGACGUUGAGGCACGAAAGCGUGGGGAGCAAACAGGAUUAGAUACCCGAGUAGUC
rnacentral:rRNA from 1 species